CAAAACUGCUAAUCCAGUGGCCAGUAGUUCUGCCUUCUUCUACUUUAUUGUACCUGACUGGCCUGGGUCUAUCACAAUAGGGAGGAUAAAAGACCUACUAUUGCUCCUAGGAAACAAGAACGCUGGGAAGACAAAGACUUAAACUGAGAAGACUGGUACCAGGCUGAGACGGAAAGUCAGCCUGUGUAGUGAGAACUGUAAACUGCUUGCAACAUCCAGUGGGGCUUCACCAUCCAGGGCUGUUCAGAAGAGUCAUCUUGGGAACCCUGCAAAGCCACCAUCUCUCUGUACCCUGAACGGGCUUGCCAAGUGGGCAGCACAGACUCUCAGCAACUGUCUGCAGUGUCCUCGAGUGCCUCAAAGAUGCGGAGCCGGGUGAAAAUACUGAGGGGUUUUUGCAGGACAUAUUUUAAAAAGUUUUUUUUCUUUUUAAACUUCACACAGACAUUUUCAGUGAAAAAUGGAAAACCAACCCCUCAAACAACAGCUCCAGCUUCUAAAACUGUUUUUGUUUGAAAAAAAUGGUUUAUGAAAACUGAAAAAAAAAUUUAAACAGAAAACCAGCCACUGAUUAUCCCCCUCCCCAAGAAACUGAAAAAUUUCCACAAAAACUUUUUUUGGGGGGGAAAGAAGGGGGAUGGAGGCUGUACCCUGCGCCUAAGCAGACCCCUUUCCCAUGGGGUGGGCC